rnacentral:pre_miRNA from 1 species
AAAGGAAUCCCCUGGGGACCUUGUUAGCCUGCAGGUUCUGAUUCAGUCUGGGGGAUGGGGUCCGGGAGCUGCAUUCCUAACAAGCUCUUAGGAUGUACCAAU